GACAGAGGCCUCAAGCGUUAGGCGGAAUCACUGGGCUUAAAGCGCGUGUAGGUGGAUUUUAAGUGCCUUGUGAAAUCCCACGGCUCACCCGUGGAACUGCUGGGUAUACUGGCGGUCUUGGGCCAACUAGGGGCAGCUGGAACAAGCGGUGGAGCGGUGAAAUGCGUAGAUAUCGCUUGGAACGCCGAAGGUGAAAACAGGCUGACUGGGGUUGUGCCGACGGC
rnacentral:rRNA from 1 species